rnacentral:rRNA from 1 species
UACGUAGGAGGCGAGCGUUGUCCGGAAUCACUGGGUGUAAAGCGCGUGUAGGCGGUUCGGUAAGUCCGCUGUGAAAGUCGGGGGGCUCAACCCUCGAAAGCCGGUGGAUACUGUCGGACUAGAGUACGGAAGAGGCGAGUGGAAUUCCUGGUGUAGCGGUGAAAUGCGCAGAUAUCAGGAGGAACACCAAUUGCGAAGGCAGCUCGCUGGGACGUUACUGACGCUGAGACGCGAAAGCGUGGGGAGCAAACAGG